AGCGAACGCUGGCGGCAGGCCUAACACAUGCAAGUCGAACGAACCUUUCGGGGUUAGUGGCGGACGGGUGAGUAACACGUGGGAACGUGCCCUUAGGUUCGGAAUAACUCAGGGAAACUUGUGCUAAUACCGAAUGUGCCCUUCGGGGGAAAGAUUUAUCGCCUUUGGAGCGGCCCGCGUCUGAUUAGCUAGUUGGUGAGGUAACGGCCCACCAAGGCGACGAUCAGGAGCUGGUCUGAGAGGAGGAUCAGCCACACUGGGACUGAGACACGGCCCAGACUCCUACGGGAGGCAGCAGUGGGGAAUCUUGCGCAAUGGGCGAAAGCCUGACGCAGCCAUGCCGCGUGAAUGAUGAAGGUCUUAGGAUUGUAAAAUUCUUUCAGCGGGGACGAUAAUGACGGUACCCGCAGAAGAAGCUCCGGCUAACUUCGUG
rnacentral:rRNA from 1 species